UACCACACAUGCAUCGCAGGAUGUUGAGGACCACUCCUCCUAGGAUCCUAAUGCUUUACUUGGUAAAAUGUCUUUCUUCUUGACAUGGAUCAAAGCUAUUUUUAUCAUUGCCUUGGCAUUUCCUCAUUAUUCCGCCAAGCUGUGAUGUGUAUAUGCAUCCAUCACAGUUUUGCACAAGAGAAAAGGAUCCAGUCUGUGCAACCAAUGGUCAGACUUAUUCCAACACAUGCGUUUUCUGCAAUGAACAACUUGAAAGUGGAGGAGCAUUUCAGUUUAGUUAUUAUGGUCGAUGCUGAUUUUGCCUGAGCUACACAUUCCUAUGGCUUUUAUUGUGAUCCAGUUUUGUGGUAGAUUCUACAACCAGUUAGAAUCUACUCAGUCAGGGUUUUAAAUUCCCAGAUAACCAGACAAAGACUUCUAUUGUAUUAAGAUGGAAUAUAGCUUGUUGAAGAAUUUUCCUAAGACCCUAUGAUUGAGAGAUUUUUUUCUUUUCUAUCUCCAGUUAUUCAAAGACAACUGAAAAAUUAUCUUAAUUGUGUGAUUCUUAACUAGACAAGAUAAAAC